AACGAACGCUGGCGGCAUGCCUAACACAUGCAAGUCGAACGAGAUCUUCGGGUCUAGUGGCGCACGGGUGCGUAACGCGUGGGAAUCUGCCCUUUGGUUCGGAAUAACAGUUGGAAACGACUGCUAAUACCGGAUGAUGACGAAAGUCCAAAGAUUUAUCGCCAGAGGAUGAGCCCGCGUAGGAUUAGCUAGUUAGUGUGGUAAAGGCGCACCAAGGCGACGAUCCUUAGCUGGUCUGAGAGGAUGAUCAGCCACACUGGGACUGAGACACGGCCCAGACUCCUACGGGGGGCAGCAGUGGGGAAUAUUGGACAAUGGGCGAAAGCCUGAUCCAGCAAUGCCGCGUGAGUGAUGAAGGCCUUAGGGUUGUAAAGCUCUUUUACCCGGGAUGAUAAUGACAGUACCGGGAGAAUAAGCUCCGGCUAACUCCGUGCCAGCAGCCGCCGUAA
rnacentral:rRNA from 1 species